rnacentral:rRNA from 1 species
AGUGAACGCUGGCGGUAGGCCUAACACAUGCAAGUCGAACGGCAGCACAGUAAGAGCUUGCUCAUACGGGUGUCGAGUGGCGGACGGGUGAGGAAGACAUCGGAAUCUACUUUGUCGUGGGGGAUAACGUAGGGAAACGUACGCUAAUACCGCAUACGACCUACGGGGGAAAGCAGGGGAUCUUCGGACCUUGCGCGAGUGAAUGAGCCGAUGUCGGAUUAGCUAGUUGGCGGGGCAAAGGCGAAGCAAGGCGACGAUCCGUAGCGGGUCUGAGAGCGUCAUCACCUACACUGGCUCUGAGACACGGCCCAGACUCUUACGGUAGGCAGCAGUGCAGACUCUUGCGCAAUGGGCGAGAGCCUGAUCCAGCCCUACCGCGUGAAUGAUGAAGGACUUCGGCUUGUAGAGCCCUUUUGUUGUGAAAGAAGUGCAGCACGUUAAUCCCCCGCUGUUCUGACGGUACCCAAAGAAUAAGCUCCGGCUAACUUCGUG